rnacentral:rRNA from 1 species
UGGGGAAUUUUGGACAAUGGGGAAACCCUGAUCCAGCCAUCCCGCGUGUGCGAUGAAGGCCUUCGGGUUGUAAAGCACUUUUGGCAGGAAAGAAACGUCAUGGGUUAAUACCCCGUGAAACUGACGGUACCUGCAGAAUAAGCACCGGCUAACUACGUGCCAGCAGCCGCGGUAAUACGUAGGGUGCAAGCGUUAAUCGGAAUUACUGGGCGUAAAGCGUGCGCAGGCGGUUCGGAAAGAAAGAUGUGAAAUCCCAGAGCUCAACUUUGGAACUGCAUUUUUAACUACCGGGCUAGAGUGUGUCAGAGGGAGGUGGAAUUCCGCGUGUAGCAGUGAAAUGCGUAGAUAUGCGGAGGAACACCGAUGGCGAAGGCAGCCUCCUGGGAUAACACUGACGCUCAUGCACGAAAGCGUGGGGAGCAAACAGG